UCCUUCUUUUUUCUUUUUUUCUUUUUUUUUUUUUUUCUUCUCUUUUUUUUGUGCAUUCCACCAUUCGAGGCCGCUACACCUGACACGCGUCGUUCGAUAUUCGAAUUUGCAUUUUGGGCUUUCAGCCAACGGAGCUUCUAUAAACGUACGCCGCUUCCCGUUGAUUCUUUCAUUCUCAUUCGUUCCGUCGAACAAAUUCGUUAGGAGGAAAAUAUUAUUUAUUCAUUUAUUUAUUUAGGUAUUUAUUUAUUAUUGGUUCUCUUCUUUACUUUUCUUUUUUUUUUUCGUUUUUUUUCAUUGUUUGUUUGCAAAAUCUCAUUCAUUCGUUCCAAUCACGUACGUUUGUAAAGAAAAAUAAAAAUUUUUCAAAAUUAUUCGACUUCCAACGUUUAAAUAAAAAAACCUUGAAAGAUAAAAGCGAUAUAUAUAUAUAUAUAUCUGGAAUUAUGUUAGUAUCUUAUUGUGAAUGGCACCCUUUAUAUCGCUUACUUCUAGAAAAUCGCUUUUCCAUGUCAGAAAAUUCCCCUAGCAUCACGUUUUUCUCAUUGACCGUUUCACACUGGAAGCCAUCGUCGAAUAGUAGUGACCGUCCUCUACUAGAGAGAAACGUUUCCCCAUUACUCUUGCUUUUCUUUUCGACUAAAGGAAAUUCUUUUCUUUUCAUUUCGUUUCUUUCCUUUUCUUCUCUCUUCUUUUCUUUUCUUUUCUUUUCUUUUCUUUUCUUUUCUUUUCUUUGCCAUUCGAUGACCGAAUUCCUUUUUUCGUAUCCCUCUUUUCAUUAUCACAAAAUUCGUAGUCGACACAAUUAUAUACACAAUCGUAUCUAUGUACUUACCUUCUUAACUAUCUAAGAAUAGAAAUCUAUGAGUGAAGUUAGCCAGUGCCAACUUGACAAAUAAGAUACAAUCGAAUAAAUAGACUCGGUUGUAUUACGUAAAAAGAUCCUCGAGGUUACUCGUCACGAUCAACUAGAUCGAUUAAAGGGGAAUAAUUCGGAAAAAUCCUCGAGAUUAUAUCUUGUUAAUAAUUUACGUCAAACGACGCUAUAAAUCAACAUUUGUGUUUCAAUGUUUCGAUAUCACGAAACCCGAUGGAUGUUCGUUGAUAGGAAUUGAUUGGCCAUUGAAUAAAUUGAUGAAAGAGAUCGUAUCAAUACGACGAGAUAUAUAUAUAUAUUUUUUUUUUUUUUUUUUUCAAGAAUCAUAGUAGUAAUGAUAAAUAAAAUUUUCGUCAAAAGGAAUUUAGAAAGAGAGGAAAUAAAAAAAAAGGGGGGGGGGAGGAUGGAAAUAAAAAAAGAAAAAAGAGGACGAAUAUAAAACAAGAGGGAAAAAAAAAGAAAGAUUUGAUACCCUCAUAGGUGUUAUCAUUGCUUCUCAUUGUGGAACAAAAAAAAAAAAAAAAAAAAAAGAAGUAUCGUUCUUCGAUAUUUUUCAACCUCUCUCUCUCUCUCUCUCUCUCUCUCUCUCUCUCUCUCUCUCUCUCUCUCUCUCUCUUUUCGCUUCCACAUAUAUCUAUCUCUCUUCGUGUUUACUCUUUUUCCGAAACAUUCAUAACUCCAUCGGAACAUUUCGCGGUCGCAUUUAUCUAUUUUCCAAGCGUCCUAUCGCGUAGUCUCGAUAUUUUGCGGUUUCCAUGAACGAUAUGGAUAUUCGUUUGAAUAAUGUUUCGACGUUUCCUAACAUAGGUAUACAUGAAUCUAUUGUAUAUCUGCAUUCGUGUAUAAUGCAUACGCAGUUUAACGUAGGUAAGUAACGUCCGAAAGAAAAGUGAAAAGAAAAAGAAAAGGAGUGAAAAAAAAAGAAGGGUAAAGGGGACGAAGGGAAGAAAGAAAAAGAAAGGUAAAUAGAAAAAGAAAAUUCGCAGAAGAAAAAGAGAUCGCGCGAAAAGGGAAAAAGGACUCGGUUGACCCGCUUUUAAAGUUCUACCCACACAAAAUCCUUGGCAACGGAACUGAAACUUUUUACCGAGAACUUUGGCACUGUGCAAGCCGCGAAGCGAGAGAAGGUCAAGGCCGAAUGAAGGAGAAGAAGGAAGGAGUAAGAGGAGGUAAGUUCUCAUAUAUAAUACGUAAGGGAAAUUUGUCGGACUUCUCUUUUACUGGUGGGGUUGGGUUG